rnacentral:rRNA from 1 species
GUGGCAGCAGCCGCGGUAAUACGUAGGUCCCAAGCGUUAUCCGGAAUCACUGGGCGUAAAGCGUCUGUAGGUUGAUAGAAAAGUCUGUAAUGAAAGACCGAAGCUCAACUUCGUGUUUGUUACGGAAACUUUCUUUCUAGAACGAGGGAGAGGCAAGCGGAAUGGUUGGAGUAGGGGUGCAAUCCGUAGAUACCAACCAGAACACCAAAAGCGAAGGCAGCUUGCUGGAACUCUGUUAACACUGAGAGACGAAAGCGUGGGGAGCGAAAAGGAUUAGAUACCCUUGUAGUCCACGCCCUAAACGAUGGUGACUAGGUGUUGGAGUUAUCCAGUGCCGAAGCUAACGCAUUAAGUCACCCGCCUGAGGAGUACGAGCGCAAGCUUAAAACUCAAAUGAAUAGACGGGGGUCAACACAAGCAGUGGAUCAUGUGGUUUAAUUCGACAAUGAACGGGGAACCUUACCUGGACUUGACAUCUUAGGAAGUCUCUGGAAACAGAGAUGUGCCCGCAAGGGAAUCUAAUGACAGGUGCUGCAUGGUUGUCGUCAGCUCGUGCUUUGAAGUGUUCGGUUUAGUCCGUUAACGAGCGCAACCCUUACGGUUAGUUGCAUACUUUUAGGAGUGGUCACUAACAGGACUGCCGAGGUUAACUUGGAGGAAGGUGGGGAUGACGUCAAAUCAGCAUGGCCCUUAUGUCCAGGGCUACACACAUGAUACAAUGGUCGAUACAAAGAGCAGCAAUAUCGUAAGAUGGAGCGAAUCUCAAAAAUCGAUCCCAGUCCGGAUUGAGGUCUGCAACUCGACCUCAUGAAGUUGGAAUUGCUAGUAAUCGUAAAUCAGCUAUGUUACGGUGAAUUUGUUCCUUGACCUUGCACACACCGCCCGUC